GCUUUGGGUUUAGAAGCUUAAGAGGACAUCCAUGACUUGAAUACUUUCUACAAGCCAUGCGUAUCAGGAUCAGGACCAAGGAACAGGACCAAGGACUAGGACCAAGGAUCAGAACUGAGGACCAAGGACCAGACCAAAGGAUCAGAACCACGAUCAAAACUUGGACUGAUAACAAAAGAUCAGAAAUGAGGAUCAGGACCAAGGUUAAAGACCAAGGAUCAGAACUGAGGACCAAGGAUCAGAACUGAGGACCAAGGAUCAGAACGAGGACCAAGGAUCAGAACUGAGUACCAAGGAUCAAGACCAUGACCCAGGAUCAGGACCAAGGAUCAAGACCAAGGUUCAGAACUGAGGACCAAGGAUCAGAACGAGGACCAAGGAUCAGAACUGAGUACCAAGGAUCAAGACCAUGACCGAUGACCCAGGAUCAGGAUCAAGACCAAGGAUCAGAACUGAGGACCACUGAUCAGGAUUAGAACCUAGGAUCAGAACUGAGGACCAGGAUCAGGACCAAGGAUCAGAAUCAAGGAUCAAGGACCAGGACAAAGGAUUAGAACCUAGAAUCAGAACCGAGGACCAGGAUCAGUACCAGUACCAACAAUCAGGACAAAGUACCAGAGUAUGCAGAGGAGAUUGCUCAGGGAGACCAGCUAACUGAAGAUCAGCGAGAUGGCCAAGAAGGUCUGACUCAGCAGGACCAACCUCAACGGGAUCAAACCACUUCAAGAAGUGCAAGCAUGGGAAUCAGUAGACCCUCCACCACAUGGAAGACACCCAGCCUCAAGAGCAACACUGAGCAAACGCACCAAGAAGAGCACCGGCAGGAAGACACCUUAUAGUAUUGGUCAGAAAUAUGGUUAUAUGAUAUGUAUUAUUAUAUUCAUUUACAGAGAGAGAGCGGUGAGGGGGGCACCUUGGGUUUAAGAGUUUGCUCACAAAAGUUAUACAAGACUUAAAGAGAUAAAAGUCAUGAAACGUCGCUGCGAGCAUUUCACUUCUGGGAGUUAUCACAAUUUUUUCUCAGGGGUUAAGAUGCCUGCACUCCAAAUACGUUUUGCGUCUUCUGUUCAAAAGAGAUUGUUCACUCCAUUUCAAAAGAGGUUAUUAAGACCAAUCAUUUGGUACAGGGACAGGGAUGUCUGGAAAGCAAAAUGAUUUCCCAAACAGUUAUUAUGCACUUGUUCUGUGAGUGAUGUUGAUACCUAUGGGGACAUGGAAUACACAGACUGCAUUUGGUAUACAGGGUACCUUUACACCAAUAGUCACAACAGUACAACUUUAUUCAAGAUUUGGGAGCAAACCUGUGAUUAUGAUUAUGAAAAAAAUAUAUAAGAUAAUGCCCUGGGGUGGUAUUCUGAGAUCCGUUUUAUCUUUAUAGAUAAGAUAAAAUAUUUCAUCUCUGUUAAAAUCAGUGAGAUAAAAUACCCUUAAAAUCUCUCUGAAUUAUCUCUGUAAGACACACCUAUUUUUUAAUCAAUAUCCGAUGAAAAACGCGCUUUUAUAGCUCUUUCAUCUCACCAAACCAAUGGAAAUCCAUUCCGCCAGAAGGUGUGGCAAAGGGGUGAGAUUGCGUCAAUUUAUUGACUUCAAAUAUGCUUGUGCGUCUUAACAGAGAUUUCUUUUUAAAAAGAUGACAAUACUCAUAUUUUUUUCAGAGUCUAUAUCUUAUCUUUUCAAGCAUCAUUUCAAAGACAAUAUUAGUCAAGAAAAGUCUUAUGAAAUAAUUCCUGAUUGUUCAGGAAUAACGUAAAGGUGUAAUUCUCAAUAAAUGUAUCAUUUUUCUUCAUAUUCAUGUCAACAUUUGGAGUUAAUUCUCCUAGAAAUAUGAAAUCAACGUCGCAGAGAUAAAAUAGCCCCUACCCUCUUUUAAGUUUAUUAUAUUUUUUCUUCAAAGUAACAUGGGUGCUAGCAUAUCAUCCGCGUUGCAAUGGCCAGAUACGUGAUGGGUAUGUCUACGCAGCCACUGCUCUUUAUCAUCUAUAGAAACGCGAGAUAAAAGUUUAAGUUUUAUCUGAGAGAUAAAGCGCCAUCUCAGAAUACCAAUUUCAUUUUAAGAGGUAAAAUAAAAUAUUUUAAAGAUGAAAUGACCUCAGAAUACCACCCCCAACUUACAAACAUAGAGGUUCAUUACACAAUGAGUAGUGAUUGAUUGUGCAGUUGUUCUGUAUGGUUUAAUGCACUUUAUGAUCAAUUCAAUCGAUGUUAAUACUCAAGGUUCCUAGCCCAUCAGGGAAAAUUAUUUUACUUUUUUCCAGUCAGGGAAAAAUCAGGGAAUUUGAUUUUAAAAAUACCUCAAAUCAGGGAAAAAUCAGGGAAUUUUGAUCAGCCCAAGAGUCGAAAGCACGGUAGUCAGUCAGACUCUGUUAUAAUUUGUUGCAUAUCAAAACAACAUCCAUUGAAUAAAUGGUUAUGGUGGUACUGAUUAGUUUUACAUUAUUGUUUUUAUACUGAAAAUACAUGUAAUUCACUGCAACAACUUAGAAAAGAUGCGAAACUGGGAAUGGGUUUGAAUAAUUAUCAGGGAAAUUUCAAACUUCAGAGAAAAAUCAGGGAAAGAUCAGGGAAUUUUGUUUUCUUGAAAAGCUGGGAACCCUGAUAUUGGCCCCAUCAUCGAUUUGUGCAUUUCAUAAUACGUGUGCUAACUGCACCCUUAUUGCGAUGCCACUCAUACACAUUAAUCCUGUGAGAUUUGUCAGCCUAAUAGGGCAUAAGAAGAAACUUUUCUUGCUAUUUGAGUUAUAGUUCUAGUUCUACUGAUUAAUCCCUAUUCUUCCUUGCACUUCCAAUUGAUCAUUCAGCUAAAAUGUUUCUUUAAUUUUUUUUUCAUUUUUAUUUGCGGCCCAUGAUAACUUGUAUGUGUAUUGGGAAAAGUGGUUGACCGUAAAGCCUUUCAUGGUAAUAAUAGUUGGUGUCACAUGUAUUAUGAAAUGCACAAAUUGCUCCUAAGUUUUCUGUACAGGGUUUAGAUAUCUUAGUUCAGAUUCUCAUAUACAUGUAUAUAUAAGUUUAUGAAGGUUAAAUUAGUUUUCUCAUGUUUUAAUACAUGAAUUGAAAAAACAUGCCCACUUCUACAAGGCAGGUUCAAGCUAUUUUCCCAUCGGCCUGUAUACAAGUCAUGAAUGUUUAUGAGUGCAAUGGAUUAUUCAUUUCAUCUUUCACCGAACAAAGUAUUCUGUCCAUUGCACGAAUGAAAAGAACAUUCAUUAUUUGGUUUAUAUGACACCUAAAAAUAGAUUAUUUUUCAUAUGAAAUUUGUGAAUUUUGAUACAAAAUGCUCAUGCAGUGCGAGCUCGGUCUGUUGAUUAUCGCGUACAUACAACAUGCGCGCUGCAAACACGAGUAGUGUCUGUUGUCUGGGUGCGGGUGUGCAAUGGACAAAAUUGUAUGGAUCCAAAAUUGCACGAUGAAUGGAUCUAUAUUUGCACGGUUGAUGACGUCAUUGUAAAAUGGGCUGAAUGAUUGAUAUCGAUAAACCAAUCAAACGAUAAGGAUCUAUCUAGGUGUCAUAUAAUAUAUUCUGAAGUCCAGUUUAAUAUGCACCAUGGUCUAUUACUCUCUGCUAAAAUUUGGGAAAGCUGAAAAUAUCUUCAUUUUAUUUAUGUUGUAUGCUUGUUAUGUUUACUCUUUUGUUUCCGCACUCUUUAAUGAUGAAGCAAGCAAACCUUUGUUAUUAUUCCCAGACAGUUAUGAAUGAUUUGAGAGUCAAAUGAGUUGAUGAAUUGAAUCUCUACUGUUGAGAGAUUUGUGUCACAAUUUGCUAUUCAUUGCUUAAACAGCAACUAGUUAAACCGCAAUUUUAGACCGGAUUGGAGUUAAACCCAAGUUCAAAAUACAGGUCUUUGAGCUUAAAAUAUUUCACACCAAAGCUACUGCUAACUUGGCUUUUAUAUUGUGCCCAUACUAAGUUUAUGUUAAGCAAUCUGUAAGGUUAAAAAAUACUAGGUUGGAAUAAACCUAGGACUUAUUGGUAUGUAGUAAUAGUGGCGGCAAAAUCAGCUUCAUAAUCUAAAUUUGGUUCUGCUACAUAAAGUUUAGCGAUUGAUUGUAGGAGAGAUUUUAAUGAUUGAAUCAACAUUGCAGUUGGUGCAUUCAAUCGUGAUAAUAUGUUCCAUUUACUAAAGCUUAGUGUUAUGGGGCUGGGAUCACAGACUACUACUAUGAUGUCCCUCCAGUUUUAAACUGACUUCGGUUUUAUAAUUGGGAUGUGGUCUACAGUCGCCCAUAGUCUCAAUUUAAAUGUUCAUAUUUAUGUUGGAAGUUUGAUUGAAUCUGCUUGCACUAUUUUAAAAUUUGAAUAUUCAAAUCAAAUGACACAGCAGAUCUGCUGCUAAAAGUGGAUUGCAAAGAUAUUCAUGUAUACCUGCAGAGGUUUGUUCUCAUGAUAACUAGAAAAAAAACAUGUGACUGAUCAACUUAAAACUUCGCUGAUGUAAGUAUUUGAUGCAAAGACAGGAUCUGACUCGUGUCCCAAGUUACAAGGUUGAAGGUCAUGAAAUUAUUUAAUAUUAGAAAUGGCAUCGAUCAAAUUUGAGGACCACAAGGUUGGAGAUGUUAAUCAUAAAAAUGUCAUCUACUUAUAAUGAUUUAAAGAUCCAGUUAACGAUCAGAUUUAGACUUAAUUCAUGUAAGGCAAUUCCAUAAAAUGAUAAACCUUUUUGUACGUCCGACCCCCAUUUUUCUAAAGUCUUACAUCACUUAACAAACUGACCAAGUCAUGGUCAUUUGACAGCAUUACAGACUGUCAAAAGAACCAAAAAUCAGAGACAGAAAACUUCAUGAAGGUCCCACAUAUAGGGGGUCAGACGUACAUAAUUUAUGUAAUAGCCCUGUAUGUACUUAUAAGAGAAGUCAUCCGAUUGGGAAUUGUAAUAGUGUUUUAAGAAGUAUGGUGUCAAAAGUAGCUUGAACCUGCCCUUAAGUCUAUGAAUAUUGUAUUAAUGAAUUUGUAAGCUUUCUUUUUCUUUGAGAAACAUUGUAAGACCGGCAGCCCAGGAGAUUUAUUCAAGUAACAGCACUGGAGCAGUUGACCUUGUGGAUCGAUGGAAGUGGGCCCUGGACUUCACAAACAUGGACUGCUGUCUGGUCUGUGCUGUGGUCUUCCUGCUAACUCACACACAAUUUAUGAUGUCACCACUGAAAGACUGGUCUUUUAUCAACGUGUAGAGAGAAGCAUAUGACAUUAUCAGACAGUACAUGCAUCCAUCCUAAUGUAAGUGCUUUAAUUGUGAUUUCAAUGACUUUUCAUCUGUCUAAGAGAAUGCAAUACAAUACAAUGAGAUUUUCCAGGUCUUGUCACUGAGGGCAACAAUAUGAUUGUGUUCUUGAAAAGAGAUUCUACUAAUGAUAAGAAAAAAAAAUCUUUUUUUUUUAUUGGCUUCAAUACCAGUUUUGGCUAUUUCAAACUAGCUCCACCCCCCCCC